GUGGGGAAUAUUCCGCAAUGGACGAAAGUCUGACGGAGCAACGCCGCGUGAGUGAUGAAGGUUUUCGGACUGUAAAGCUCUGUUGUUUAGGACGAAAGUGCCUGUUGCGAACAGUUACAGGUAUUGACGGUACUAAACGAGGAAGCCACGGCUAACUACGUGCCAGCUGCCGCGGUAAUACGUAGGUGGCAAGCGUUGUCCGGAAUUAUUGGGCGUAAAGAGCAUGUAGGCGGAGAUUUAAGUCUGUUGUGAAAAUGCGGGGCUCAACCCCGUAUUGCGAUGGAAACUGAAUUUCUUGAGUGCAGGAGAGGAAAGGGGAAUUCCCAGUGUAGCGGUGAAAUGCGUAGAUAUUGGGAGGAACACCAGUGGCGAAGGCGCCUUUCUGGACGAUGUCUGACGCUGAGGCGCGAAAGCUAGGGGAGCGAACGGGAUUAGAUACCCCUGUAGUCC
rnacentral:rRNA from 1 species